GACGAACGCUGGCGGCGCGCCUAACACAUGCAAGUCGAACGAGCGAGAGAGAGCUUGCUUUCUUGAGCGAGUGGCGAACGGGUGAGUAACGCGUGAGGAACCUGCCUCAAAGAGGGGGACAACAGUUGGAAACGACUGCUAAUACCGCAUAAGCCCACGGUGCCGCAUGGCACAGAGGGAAAAGGAGCAAUCCGCUUUGAGAUGGCCUCGCGUCCGAUUAGCUAGUUGGUGAGGUAACGGCCCACCAAGGCGACGAUCGGUAGCCGGACUGAGAGGUUGAACGGACACAUUGGGACUGAGACACGGCCCAGACUCCUACGGGAGGCAGCAGUGGGGAAUAUUGCACAAUGGGGGAAACCCUGAUGCAGCGACGCCGCGUGGAGGAAGAAGGUCUUAGGAUUGUAAACUCCUGUUGUUGGGGAAGAUAAUGACGGUACCCAACAAGGAAGUGACGGCUAACUACGUG
rnacentral:rRNA from 1 species